rnacentral:rRNA from 1 species
GACGAACCGUGCGAACGUUGUUCGGAAUCACUGGGCUUAGAGGGCGCGUAGGCGGGUUCGCAAGUCUGUGGUGAAAGCCUCCAGCCUUAACUGGAGAAGUGCCGUGGAUACUGCGAAUCUUGAGGAGGGUAGGGGCGUCUGGAACGGUCGGUGGAGCGGUGAAAUGCGUUGAUAUCGACCGGAACUCCGGUGGCGAAGGCGAGGCGUGGACCCUUUCUGACGCUGAGGCGCGAAAGCCAGGGGAGCAAACGGG